rnacentral:rRNA from 1 species
GACGAACGCUGGCGGCGUGCUUAACACAUGCAAGUCGAACGAUGACGGUGGUGCUUGCACCGCCUGAUUAGUGGCGAACGGGUGAGUAACACGUGAGUAACCUGCCCUCCACUUCGGGAUAACCUCGGGAAAUCGUGGCUAAUACCGGAUAUGAGCACUCAUCGCAUGGUGGGUGUUGGAAAGAUUUAUCGGUGGGGGAUGGACUCGCGGCCUAUCAGUUUGUUGGUGAGGUGAUGGCUCACCAAGACGAUGACGGGUAGCCGGCCUGAGAGGGCGACCGGCCACACUGGGACUGAGACACGGCCCAGACUCCUACGGGAGGCAGCAGUGGGGAAUAUUGCACAAUGGGCGAAAGCCUGAUGCAGCGACGCCGCGUGGGGGAUGACGGCCUUCGGGUUGUAAACCCCUUUCAGUAGGGAAGAAGCGAGAGUGACGGUACCUGCAGAAGAAGCGCCGGCUAACUACGUGCCAGCAGCCGCGGUAAU